UACGGAGGAUGCAAGCGUUAUCCGGAAUUAUUGGGCGUAAAGCGUACGCAGGUGGCAAUUCAAGUCUGCUGUUAAAGGUUCUGGCUCAACCAGAGACAGGCAGUGGAUACUGCAUAGCUAGAGUGCGGUAGGGGCAGAGGGAAUUCCCAGUGUAGCGGUGAAAUUCGUAGAGAUUGGGAAGAACACCGGUGGCGAAAGCGCUCUGCUGGGCCGGAACUGACACUCAUGGACGAAAGCUAGGGGAGCGAAUGGG
rnacentral:rRNA from 1 species